CUCCCACACCACCACGCCAUCUCCUCCUGGUGGGGCUCCGCCGCCGAAGCGAUCUGGCCGUUCACAGCCACCACCCCUGUCCGUUCACCUGUACAAGAUGACCAGGCCGAGGAGGCAGCGAUCUAGUAGAGUUCAUUUAUUGAAGGUGUUCACCUUUUGUGUGAUUAUUAGUUCACGUUUGGUGUGAUUUUCUGUUCAGCAGGCUUACUAUUUCAUCAUCAGCAUGCAGCAAAAAAGCAAGAUUCACAAGUUCAUCUUCUGGAUGCUUUUCAGUACAUCUACUUCCCGUUGG